AUUGAACGCUGGCGGCAGGCCUAACACAUGCAAGUCGAGCGGAGCGGCGGACGGGUGAGUAAUGCCUAUGAAUCUGCCUGGUCCUGGGGGAUAACGUUCGGUAACGGGAGCUAAUACUGCAUACUCUCAGCUGAGCCUAGGCCGGAUUAGCCAGUUGGUGGGGUAAAUGCCUACCAUGGCGACGAUCCGUAACUGGGCUGAGAGGAUGAUCAGUCACACUGGAACUGAGACACGGUCCAGACUCCUACGGGAGGCAGCAGUGGGGAAUAUGGGACAAUGGGCGAAAGCCUGAUCCAGCCAUGCAGCGUGUGUGAAGAAGGUCUUCGGGUUGUAAAGCACUUUAAGUUGGGAGGCGUUACCAGCAGAAGAAGCACCGGCUAACUUCGUGCCAGCCGCCGCGGUAAUAC
rnacentral:rRNA from 1 species